rnacentral:rRNA from 1 species
GGAUUGUUCACCCACCAAUAGGGAACGUGAGCUGGGUUUAGACAGUCGUGAGACAGGUUAGUUUUACCCUACUGAUGACAGUGUCGCAAUAGUAAUUCAACCUAGUACGAGAGGAAUCGUUGAUUCGCACAAUUGGUCAUCGCGCUUAGUUGAAAAACCAAUGGCACGAAGCUACUGUGUGCUGGAUUAUGACUGAACACCUCUAAGUGAAAAUCUGGGCUAGAAGCGAUGCAUGCGCUCGCCGUCCGCUUGCCGACCCACAGUAGGAGGCGUCUGGCCCUCAAAGGCACGUUUCGUUGGUAAAGCCCACACGGCGAAUAAGUUGUGCAGGCCGCCUUAAAGUACAAUUCCUAUCUAAAGUGGCAGGUAGAAUCCUUUGUAUUGACUUAAAUACACGACGAGGUAUUGUAAGUAGCAGAGUGGCCUUGCUGCCACGAUCUACUGAGAUUCAACACUGCGUCGCUCCGAUUCCUCCCUCCC